CCUACGGGUGGCAGCAGUGGGGAAUAUUGGACAAUGGGGGGAACCCUGAUCCAGCGACGCCGCGUGAGUGAAGAAGGAUUUCGGUAUGGAAAGCCCUAUCAGCAGGGAAGAAAAUGACGGUACCUGACCAAGAAGCCCCGGCUAACUACGUGCCAGCAGCCGCGGUAAUACGUAGGGGGCAAGCGUUAUCCGGAUUUACUGGGUGUAAAGGGGGCGUAGACGGGGCAGCAAGUCUGAAGUGAAAGGCCCGGGCCCAACCCCGGGACUGCAGUUGAAACUGGUGGGCUGGAGUACAGGAGAGGUAUGCGGAAUUCGUAGUGUAGCGGUGAAAUGCGUAGAUAUUAGGAGGAACACCAGUGGCGAAGGCGGCUUACUGGACUGUAACUGACGUUGAGGCUCGAAAGCGUGGGGAGCAAACAGGAUUAGAUACCCGAGUAGUC
rnacentral:rRNA from 1 species